rnacentral:rRNA from 1 species
UACCAGCACCCCGAGUGGUCGGGACGUUUAUUGGGCCUAAAGCAUCCGUAGCCGGUUCUACAAGUCUUCCGUUAAAUCCACCUGCUUAACAGAUGGGCUGCGGAAGAUACUAUGGAGCUAGGAGGCGGGAGAGGCAAGCGGUACUCGAUGGGUAGGGGUAAAAUCCGUUGAUCCAUUGAAGACCCCCAGUGGCGAAGGCGGCUUGCCAGAACGCGCUCGACGGUGAGGGAUGAAAGCUGGGGGAGCAAACCGG